GGAGGGUCAUAGCUCAGAUGUAGAACAUCUGCCUUGCAUGCAGAAGGUCACAGGAUCAACCCCUGGCAUCUCCA